rnacentral:rRNA from 1 species
CGGAGGGAUCAUUACUGAGUUUACGCUCUACAACCCUUUGUGAACAUACCUAUAACUGUUGCUUCGGCGGGUAGGGUCUCCGCGACCCUCCCGGCCUCCCGCCUCCGGGCGGGUCGGCGCCCGCCGGAGGAUAACCAAACUCUGAUUUAACGACGUUUCUUCUGAGUGGUACAAGCAAAUAAUCAAAACUUUUAACAACGGAUCUCUUGGUUCUGGCAUCGAUGAAGAACGCAGCGAAAUGCGAUAAGUAAUGUGAAUUGCAGAAUUCAGUGAAUCAUCGAAUCUUUGAACGCACAUUGCGCCCGCCAGCAUUCUGGCGGGCAUGCCUGUACGAGCGUCAUUUCAACCCUCAAGCUCUGCUUGGUGUUGGGGCCCUACAGCUGAUGUAGGCCCUCAAAGGUAGUGGCGGACCCUCUCGGAGCCUCCUUUGCGUAGUAACUUUACGUCUCGCACUGGGAUCCGGAGGGACUCUUGCCGUAAAACCCCCAAUUUUCCAAAGGUUGACCUCGGAUCAGGUAGGAAUACCCGCUGAACUUAAGCAA